CAAAGAUAUACGCUUGGUGAACGCUAUAACUCCAGGAAAUUUUUAUGCAGCAUAAAAGAUUUCCUCUAGCUCAAGCGUUUGUCAAGCGUAUACCUGUAUGCUACACGCACGUAAUACAUACGCUACAAGCGCGUUUAAAACGCUACACAUACGUUUGAGACACGUUUAGGGCACAUUGUAUACGCUUCAAGAUCGUUUGACCUUAAC
rnacentral:lncRNA from 1 species